AUUGAACGCUGGCGGCAUGCUUUACACAUGCAAGUCGAACGGUAACAGGCCUUCGGGUGCUGACGAGUGGCGAACGGGUGGGUAAUGCAUCGGAACGUACCCAGAGGUGGGGGAUAACGCAGCGAAAGCUGUGCUAAUACCGCAUGUGAUCUGAGGAUGAAAGCGGGGGACCGAGCAGCAAUGUUUGGCCUCGCGCCUUUGGAGCGGCCGAUGUCGGAUUAGCUAGUUGGUGGGGUAAAGGCCUACCAAGGCGACGAUCCGUAGCUGGUCUGAGAGGACGACCAGCCACACUGGGACUGAGACACGGCCCAGACUCCUACGGGAGGCAGCAGUGGGGAAUUUUGGGCAAUGGGCGCAAGCCUGAUCCAGCAAUGCCGCGUGCGGGAAGAAGGCCUUCGGGUUGUAAACCGCUUUUGGCAGGAACGAAACGGUGUCCGCUAAUACCGGGCGCUAAUGACGGUACCUGCAGAAUAAGCACCGGCUAACUACGUG
rnacentral:rRNA from 1 species